rnacentral:lncRNA from 1 species
CCUCAUCCCUCACCUCAUCCCUCACCCCUCACCUCACACCUCACAGCACAGCUGAGUCCCCCCUCCUACACAGACCCCCCUCGGUCUGCCGCCAUCACACCACGCACAGUCACCCCUUUCCCCCCCAGUACUGCAGACUGCCAUGAGGUCUCCUCACAGCCUCCCCACGGCGGCUGAGCAGAUCCGCCCAUCCCGCUGUCCGACCCGCAGGCACUGCUGGACUUCUGCCUUGUGUUCUCAAUGCCGCGCCUGCUUUGGGCCCGUUGGAUCCAGAAAGAUGAGCCUCUCUGCACCCGGGAUGGGAAAACACACGUUAUGGUGCUGAGAUGUACGGGCAGCAGGUGGUUUCCCAGCACAAAGGAUGGAGAGAGCCUCUCUGCUCCACCUACAGACGGCUCCUUGUCUGAGGAGCAGAGCUGGGCCAGGGCUGGAGGAGCCACUCGAGAGAAGGAAGGCUGUCGUUGGGGAGCAGCGCCUGCUGCAAAGGGAGCCGCGGCGCGGGCUGCACCUCCACCGCCUACUGAUGGCUGCAACGUCGGUGCUCGGGCACUGGGACACACCCGGGGAACACGCGGGACCGCGGGCGCUGUGUCUGUACAAAUCCCAGCUGCUGUUACCCGGGUGUUGGAAUGAGGUAAGAGGGAAGCACUCCGGGGCGUCAGUAGCGGUCGGUGAGGAGAUGGGACUCCGUGUCUCUUGGCUCCCGGCAGCACUGUGUGCUGGAAGUCCCCAUCACAGCCGAGCCACGAAGGGCUGGAGUGUUCUGUGCCCGUGUGCUUUUAUCAAUAGCAACAGUUGUAGCUGUCCCAGGGUGAGGAGGAGUGGCCGCCGCGCUGACCAUGCAGGGAUCUCCUCAUCCCUCCCGGGAGGAAAAGCUGCAUCUGAACUCUGAUGGUGCCACGUGAGUCACUGGGCACAAAGGCUGCUGGUCAGCUUCAGCCAAAAGCAGAGCGUGAGCACAAAGAGAGGAAGCUUCAGAAACGCCCAUCUUAACCUCACGCUGUUUGACAGGCCACCCCAGCAGCACAUGACGCAGAGCAGCCCAGGCUGCUGCUGUGGGCCCCAUGCAAACCCUUCAGAGGGCUCCCAUGCUUCCAUCCGGGAUGAAGCGAACAAGGAUGGCAGCAGAACACAGCUCUGCAUGCAGCACCUGCUCUGGAACGAUGGCAGCCCUCCUUCGUGUGGCCGUGCUCAGCACCGCGCUGGGUCCAGUUUGGAGAAGACCCCUGAGAUCCUCAUACCCACAUCCCCCAUUGCCACAUCCCCACGGCGCUGAACACCC